ACUCGCAAAUCGCGCGGCAAGUUCCUCCGCGCAAGUAAAUUGCUGCAAUAACUUGCUAGUGUAAACCGAGCAUUAGUAAAAGUGCUGUUUAUUAUUAUUCGUCAUUUGAGUCUGCUGCUUCGUCAAUGUUUAUGAUUGCUCCAGUAUUAAUUAUCCGAGGGUUCAUCUGUGUUCAAUUUGUCUUUUAAGAAUGCAACUACAGUACGAGCUACGACUGGAAUCUUCUGAAAACUAAUAGCGAUCCGCAGUCAUAACAUUGACUGUAAAAUUAAAACAACCAAAUUCAUACCGUAGAAGUCGAUUGGUUCACUCAAGCAAUUUUGCGCAGCAGGAAGCCAUACAUCAGCGGCAUAGCGACGUUGGUACAGUAUGAUCCGUUGUCGUUAAAUGAUUCUGCUCCUCCAGCAAACCCUCAGAUACUUUGUCUGUCGUGGUUUCCUUCUGUCUAUUGGAGGCUUCAUUGGUAUUGACAAGAUAACAGCCAGUAGGAGUAUUAAAAGGAUGUUAUGACAAUGAACAGCUUGCACAAAAGGCAGUUUUGUUAAUUAUUUCAGUUCUGUAUUGUAAUUAAAUGAAUAUAAAAUAAACAAAUUUAUAUG